rnacentral:rRNA from 1 species
UACGUAGGGGGCAAGCGUUGUCCGGAGUUACUGGGCGUAAAGCGCACGCAGGCGGUCUCUUAAGUUUGGAGUGGACAGUUGGUGGCUUAACUGCCAAAGUGCUUCGAAAACUGAGAGACUUGAGGGCUUCAGAGGGACACGGAAUCCGGGUGGAGUGGUGAAAUGCGUAGAGAUCCGGAGGAACACCAAAGGCGAAGGCAGGUGUCCUGGGGAGUACCUGGACGCUCGAGGUGCGAAAGCCAGGGGAG